rnacentral:rRNA from 1 species
GCGUGAGUGAUGAAGGCCUUAGGGUUGUAAAGCUCUUUUACCCGGGAUGAUAAUGACAGUACCGGGAGAAUAAGCCCCGGCUAACUUCGUGCCAGCAGCCGCGGUAAUACGAAGGGGGCUAGCGUUGUUCGGAAUUACUGGGCGUAAAGCGUGCGCAGGCGGCCAUCCAAGUCAGUGGUGAAAGCCCGGAGCUCAACUCCGGAAUUGCCUUUAAAACUGCAUCGCUAGAAUUGUGGAGAGGUAAGUGGAAUUCCGAGUGUAGAGGUGAAAUUCGU